rnacentral:rRNA from 1 species
GACGAACGCUGGCGGCGUGCUUAACACAUGCAAGUCGAACGGAAAGGCCCUGCUUUUGUGGGGUGCUCGAGUGGCGAACGGGUGAGUAACACGUGAGUAACCUGCCCUUGACUUUGGGAUAACUUCAGGAAACUGGGGCUAAUACCGGAUAGGAGCUCCUGCUGCAUGGUGGGGGUUGGAAAGUUUCGGCGGUUGGGGAUGGACUCGCGGCUUAUCAGCUUGUUGGUGGGGUAGUGGCUUACCAAGGCUUUGACGGGUAGCCGGCCUGAGAGGGUGACCGGCAACAUUGGGACUGAGAUACGGCCCAGACUCCUACGGGAGGCAGCAGCGGGGAAUAUUGCACAAUGGGCGGAAGCCUGAUGCAGCAACGCCGCGUGCGGGAUGACGGCCUUCGGGUUGUAAACCGCUUUCGCCUGUGACGAAGCGUGAGUGACGGUAAUGGGUAAAGAAGCACCGGCUAACUACGUG